UAGGCUUUUUGCUUUUUUUUUUUUUUUUUUUUUGCUUAUAUGAAUUACGAUGCGUAUGCCUUAGUUGGAACAACGGAGAUUUUUGGUGGUAUUUGUACGUAUUCUGAUUGUUGUGCUUCCGUCAUGAUUUUGUUUUUCUCUGAGUUUAUAGGAAAUUAUGAUUGUUGUGUGUUGAACAAGUAUGAGAAAAAUUUGUUAAGGAUCGUGUUUUCCGUGCUUGAGGUCACAAUCCAUUUGUUUGCUUCAGUAGUUAAUUGGUGAUAUGUAUGUUGCAUGUGUUACUUUGUGAUUUGUUCCUUGGGCUUGUAUUUAUGUUCAGAUCCCUGCACAUCUUAUGAAAUUAGUGUAUAUUCGUUGGAGCAGUAAUAGUUCUUCAUUGAGUUGGAGCCUUGAAAAUAGAAUCCUUGGUGGUAACAGGUAACGAUAAAACUCCAAUGCCACUAUUGAGCCGGUCAGCAUUGUCUUUAGAGCUAAAAUCUGCAUGUCUAGCUUCUGCAAUGAUAUACCGAUGCCUCAAUUCCACAUUGCAUGAUUAGCAGCUUGCGAAAUAAUAACACCAACUUACAGAUGGCUGAGAAUCUGAAUGCAUUGGGUUCUCAUUUAUCACAGAUGACACUGUCUGCAAACUGCUAGUCAAAGUCUCAAUUCCCCUCUUAAGACCCUGGAUUUUUGCAUUGCUUUCAAUUAAAAAUUGACCGUCAAUUCCCCCACCACUUUGUUUGACAUUCGCCUUUGUGUACUCCAUUAGCUUUCCACAAAGCUGGCUCCUCUCCCUAAGCAAAUUGAGCCCCUGAAUUUGCAAGCAGCAAACUCGAUUGCACAAUUCCUGAUUGCAAACUCGAUUGAUACCUGUCUCUCCUAUUUGAUGGUUCUGAUUCUUCUUAUAAAGUUUGAAAUUGUUGCUUGUGUCUGUUUGUUUGCAAACAGAACAUUGUCUUUUGUUUGCUUUUGUUUGUUUCUUGUCUCUGUGCAUACACAUUUUUUUUUCUCUCUAAAUGUAACUAUUACAGAUGUUAGGUUCGUUGAUGAAACUUAGAGAUCUUAACUGAACCUAGACAAAUUUUACAGUGAUGACAUGAAUCAUCAAAGAGAUCAUGUGUUAAAUCAUAUGAGAAAGUUAUAGACCAAUUGGAGAGGAUCAUUGCACAAGUAUGUGAAGUCUAAGCCAUUGCAUGAAGCACUAAAAGUCCGGUAGGAGAUAGACAAGAGUGAUUGGGAAUGGUUGGUCAAGGAACAUUUUUUAAGUGAAAAAUUUAAGGAAACAAGUAUUAGAAACUCGAUCAAUAGGUCUAAGUUGAGAAUGCCUCAUCGUACGGGUAGCAAGCCGAUUAGAGAAAUUAUUUACGAACUGGGAGGCUAAGACGGUAAUCCAUCGAACAUGGCGACUAUCUUCUUUGAGACUCACAAGAAAAAUGACACGCUUGUAGAACCUGAAGCUAGUAAAAAAUAUGCUGAGAUACAAGAAGUGGUACAAUCUGAGCCAUCUCUUACGAAUAUCGAGGUAGUAGAAAGAUGCUUCGGACCUCAAAACAAGUGUCACGUGGUUAGAUUAGGGGGUGGUAUAACCACUAAGGAGUUGAAAGGGCGGUAGCUCCUCAAAGACUGCAAUACUGGCUGAGCUAAAUGCAACUCGAAAAGAAAAAGAAUCACUACAGAUCGAGCUGAAUGCAACUAAAAAAGCAAAAGAAUCACUAGAAAUACGUAUGGAUGACAUAGAUUCUAAGUAUGCACAUAUUAUAAGCUUACUGGGUGAUCAACCUUCAUCAGCACCAUCUUCAAGUCAACAAAGUACAAGCUAAAAUUAAUAUUUUUACAGAUAAUGCAGAUGCUUCAAAAAGCUUCUGAUACUCACACAGCAAAGAAGAACCUUUUCCUUCAAGAUCUAGGGUGGAUGUCCGUAAGGUGAAGUUGAGAAUGUCAGGCUCCGUAGCUUUUUCAAGCAGCUUAUCAAACUCUUGCUUAGUUAAUUGACAUUCUUCCUGCAAAAGAUGCAUCUCUGAUUCCAUGCCAGCCAACCGUGCAUCACUCAUGUGGACAAAUCUGCCAUGUUCACAAAUUUUUGCAUCUAAAGAAAUCCUCAGCUCCUCCAUUGCAUGAAGCGUCAAUUCCUUCUCUUUCUCCAAAGUUGAAUGCCUUUGUUCCAGUCCUGAAUACCUUCCCUGCACAUCAUGCAGUGCAACUUGUGCAGCCUGCAAAUGAAAUUUUGUCGAUGUUGAUCAUGAAGCAGACAUGGAUUUGUUAUAUGUUCAGUAGUGGCAGAAACGUAGGAAAUAAUUAAUAAAAACAUUGAACAAGUUUUUAGAAAGAGUUAAUAAAAGGCACAUAAAUAUAUGUAUGGGUGUUAAACUAAAGGUACCUCCACUAAAAGCAUAAGUAGUUAGAGAGGGGAGACAUUUAUUCAAAUACCAGAAACAAACAAAAAGAUUAGAUCGUGAAGAAUUACCAUAGAGAAUUUGAAGCAUUGCUAGUGGUUUGAAGUCUUGCUCACGAGUUUUAUGUGUGGGGAGGGUGUCCUGUUUGCAGUGGGAAUCAACAGUUUCAAAUGAUUAUAAUAAGAUAGGGAGGUUGCGAAGUUUUUUUAUUUGAUGAAGAGAGACCACCGAUAGCAUCAACUAGACCUCGUGAAAGAGCAUCAUUUCUAGUCCAGAC